UAUUUUCAUGCUUACAACAUUAACCAAGUCUUAAAUUAAGCAUAUACUUUAUCUGCCAUUGUACAUGGAACUGUCAAGGAUACCAUUUGAAAGGAUACUGACAGAAGUUAACCAUCUUGUGUUCUAUAAAGUUGCUUAUCAGUAUUUUAAAUUGCAGUAAAAGGUGCAAAAAGAAGCUUGGAGGGUUAGACAAAGUUAAGAUCUUUAUUUUAUGAACUUACAAAGUAAGAUGGUUGGCAGAAGUUUCUUGAAAGGGGGUCAACUUUGGGAAUACAGAAGUUCUGGUAUUUUCAAGGGCAGAAAAUCAAUAGACUUAUCUUGCAGGAUUUGCUUAGCUCUGAAAAUCUUGUGAUGUGUUGCAGGUUUGGACAAGUUGUGAAUCAUCAUAAGGAUUUAAUACAUAUUAACACUUUUGUUCUUCCUUUUAUUGAGUUAUUUUAGUUAGUAAAAAUGAUUUGAUACUGUUUCGUGCAACUGUAUAAAAACAGGGCCAUAUGCUAAAGACGUUAUAUUUUCAUUUAUUUUAUUUUAUCUUUUUUUUUUU